UACGUAGGGGGCAAGCGUUAUCCGGAUUUAUUGGGCGUAAAGAGCUCGUAGGCGGCUGAUCGCGUCGGUUGUGAAAGCUCAGGGCUCAACCCUGAGACGCCAAUCGAUACGGAUCGGCUAGAGGUAGGUAGGGGAAAGUGGAAUUCCUGGUGUAGCGGUGAAAUGCGCAGAUAUCAGGAGGAACACCGGUGGCGAAGGCGGCAUCCUGGACCGGCAUUGACGCUGAGGCGCGAAAGCUAGGGGAGCAAACGGG
rnacentral:rRNA from 1 species